rnacentral:misc_RNA from 1 species
UCUCUCUCUCUCUCCCUCUCUCUAUAUAUAUAUAUAUAUUGUUCUCUUGAUUUGGUUGUGUUAUUUUCAUUUGUUGGGCAUGAUACAGCUGCUUUUGUUCUCUCCAUUAUAAGAGUUUCAUCUUGAUAAUCUUUUUCAGAGUCAUGUGAAGAAAUGGUUUAUCUUUUUCAUAGUGAGACUGCUAUGAGCUAUUUUUUGGUUUCGCAGUCAAAUCAAAUUGAAGUACAGUUACUUUGGAUCUUUAUGUUCAAAAGUAAAGGUGGAAUAUCCAUUGUACAGCAAAGAGACAUUGUAUCCUGAAUAAGUAACAACAUUGACUUGCUCAAACUCAGGAAAAAUUGAUUCAACAUAUGCUUUAAUUAACAUUUACAGUAGUAUGGUUCUUUCAUUCACUUGAAUCUCAACUGUCUUGUUCUUACAAUAAAUCAUUAAUAGCACGAGAGUUGUUUAAGUGGUUCCAAGCUCAACUCAAAAGAAGUUUACGGUGCUAUUAAUGCUGCCUUUUGAAGGUGAAAGCUGAAGAGUUGACA